rnacentral:rRNA from 1 species
UACAGAGGUCCCAAGCGUUGUUCGGAUUCACUGGGCGUAAAGGGUGCGUAGGUGGUUGGGAAAGUUUGAUGUGAAAGCUCGGAGCUUAACUCCGAAAUGGCAUUGAAUACUUCUUAACUUGAGGGUCGGAGGGGAGACUGGAAUUCUCGGGUGAUAGCAGUGAAAUGCGUAGAUAUCGAGAGGAACACCAGUGGCGAAGGCGAGUCUCUGGACGACUCCUGACACUGAGGCACGAAAGCUAGGGAGCGAAACAGG